rnacentral:misc_RNA from 1 species
CAGAGUUGAAAAACUCCCAAACCCUGUGAACAUACCUGAGACGUUGCUUCGGUGGGCGGCCCCAGGGCGGGGCCAUAUGCCUAUAGGUGCCCACCGGAGGACCCAAACUCUUCUAUAUUUUAGUGGUCUCUCUGAGAAAAAACAUAAUAAGUCA